rnacentral:rRNA from 1 species
UACGUAGGGGGCUAGCGUUGUCCGGAAUCAUUGGGCGUAAAGCGCGUGUAGGCGGUCCGGUAAGUCCGCUGUAAAAGUCAAAGGCUCAACCUUUGAAUGUCAGUGGAUACUGCCGGGCUAGAGUCCGGAAGAGGCGAGUGGAACUCCUGGUGUAGCGGUGGAAUGCGCAGAUAUCAGGAAGAACACCAACGGCGAAGGCAGCUCGCUAGGACGGUACUGACGCUGAGACGCGAAAGCGUGGGGAGCGAACAGG